rnacentral:rRNA from 1 species
GACGAACGCUGGCGGCGUGCUUAAUACAUGCAAGUGGAGCGACGAACCAGGCUUCGGCCUGGGGCAGAGCCGCGAACGGGUGAGUAACACGUGGGUAACCUGCCUCGAUGACCGGGACAACCCGGGGAAACCCGGGCUAAUACCGGAUGUGCUGUCCCCACAUCAGUGGAGACAGGAAAGGAAGCUUCGGCCUCCGCAUCGAGAUGGGCCCGCGGCCCAUUAGCUUGUUGGUGUGGUAACGGCUCACCAAGGCUGCGAUGGGUAGCUGGUCUGAGAGGACGAUCAGCCACACUGGGACUGAGACGCGGCCCAGACUCCUACGGGAGGCAGCAGUAGGGAAUCUUGCGCAAUGCGCGAAAGCGUGACGCAGCAACGCCGCGUGGGGGAAGAAGGCC